rnacentral:ncRNA from 2 species
ACUGUGCGUGUGACAGCG